GUCGAACGGUAGCACAGAGAGCUUGCUCUCGGGUGACGAGUGGCGGACGGGUGAGUAAUGUCUGGGAAACUGCCUGAUGGAGGGGGAUAACUACUGGAAACGGUAGCUAAUACCGCAUAACGUCGCAAGACCAAAGUGGGGGACCUUCGGGCCUCAUGCCAUCAGAUGUGCCCAGAUGGGAUUAGCUAGUAGGUGGGGUAACGGCUCACCUAGGCGACGAUCCCUAGCUGGUCUGAGAGGAUGACCAGCCACACUGGAACUGAGACACGGUCCAGACUCCUACGGGAGGCAGCAGUGGGGAAUAUUGCACAAUGGGCGCAAGCCUGAUGCAGCCAUGCCGCGUGUAUGAAGAAGGCCUUCGGGUUGUAAAGUACUUUCAGCGAGGAGGAAGGCAUUGUGGUUAAUAACCACAGUGAUUGACGUUACUCGCAGAAGAAGCACCGGCUAACUCCGUGCCAGCAGCCGCGGUAAUACGGAGGGUGCAAGCGUUAAUCGGAAUUACUGGGCGUAAAGCGCACGCAGGCGGUCUGUCAAGUCGGAUGUGAAAUCCCCGGGCUCAACCUGGGAACUGCAUUCGAAACUGGCAGGCUUGAGUCUCGUAGAGGGGGGUAGAAUUCCAGGUGUAGCGGUGAAAUGCGUAGAGAUCUGGAGGAAUACCGGUGGCGAAAGCGGCCCCCUGGACGAAGACUGACGCUCAGGUGCGAAAGCGUGGGGAGCAAACAGGGAUGACAUACCCUGGUAGUCCACGCCGUAACUAUGUCUAUUUGGAGGUUGUUCCCUUGAGGAGUGGCUUCCGGAGCUAACGCGUUAAAUAGACCGCCUGGGGAGUACGGCCGCAAGGUUAAAACUCAAAUGAAUUGACGGGGGCCCGCACAAGCGGUGGAGCAUGUGGUUUAAUUCGAUGCAACGCGAAGAACCUUACCUGGUCUUGACAUCCACGGAAUUUGGCAGAGAUGCCUUAGUGCCUUCGGGAACCGUGAGACAGGUGCUGCAUGGCUGUCGUCAGCUCGUGUUGUGAAAUGUUGGGUUAAGUCCCGCAACGAGCGCAACCCUUAUCCUUUGUUGCCAGCGGUUAGGCCGGGAACUCAAAGGAGACUGCCAGUGAUAAACUGGAGGAAGGUGGGGAUGACGUCAAGUCAUCAUGGCCCUUACGACCAGGGCUACACACGUGCUACAAUGGCAUAUACAAAGAGAAGCGACCUCGCGAGAGCAAGCGGACCUCAUAAAGUAUGUCGUAGUCCGGAUUGGAGUCUGCAACUCGACUCCAUGAAGUCGGAAUCGCUAGUAAUCGUGAAUCAGAAUGUCACGGUGAAUACGUUCCCGGGCCUUGUACACACCGCC
rnacentral:rRNA from 1 species